rnacentral:rRNA from 1 species
UGGCGGCGUGCUAAUACAUGCAAGUAGAACGCUGAAGCUUGGUGCUUGCACCGAGCGGAUGAGUUGCGAACGGGUGAGUAACGGUAGGUAACCUGCCUGGUACGGGAUAACUAUUGAUACGAGUAGCAUACCGCAUGACAACAGUUAUUGCAUGAUAGCUGUUUAAAAGGGGCAAUUGCUCCACUACCAGAUGGACCUGCGUUGUAUUAGCUAGUUGGUGGGGUAACGGCUCACCAAGGCGACGAUACAUAGCCGACCUGAGAGGGUGAUCGGCCACACUGGGACUGAGACACGGCCCAGACUCCUACGGGAGGCAGCAGUAGGGAAUCUUCGGCAAUGACGAGAAGUCUGUCAACAAGGUAC